AAAACAGAAAUGCGAGCAGGGUGGUUAAUUCAGCCCAGUUGUCAGUUUCAAAGCUACAUGCCCUGGGCUACCAACCAAUUCUGUUUCUUGGACAGUUUGACCGUAAGGGCCGUAUAGUAGGGGACGUGAUCACUCAGAUCGAACCAGCGGAAGGUGCUGCACGUGACAUCCUCAUGAAGAUGAGGAAGCUUUAUGAACACCUUCUGAGAAAAUUACAAGCUUCACCUCCUGCUAAAAGUUCUACACCAGCAGCUGGACCAUCCUCUGCUGACAGUGUCGAUGCUGGACCAGUCCCAGACCCAGAGGCUCUAAACGAGGAAUUUAUUCUUCAUUUAGAGCCUGUACCAACAUCUUCCCUCUGUCAGCCUCCUGCAUCCUCCUCUUCAUC